rnacentral:rRNA from 1 species
GUCCACGCUGUAAACGAUGAACACUAGAUAUUGGAGGAUUUGACCCCUUCAGUGUCGCAGCUAACGCGUUAAGUGUUCCGCCUGGGAAGUACGGUCGCAAGACUAAAACUCAAAGGAAUUGACGGGGGCCCGCACAAGCGGUGGAUUAUGUGGUUUAAUUCGAAGCAACGCGCAGAACCUUACCUAGGCUUGAAAUCCCACGAAUCCCUUUUAAACGAGGGAGUGCUCUUCGGAGAAUGUGGUGACAGGCGCUGCAUGGCUGUCGU